GCCCUCAUAGCUCAAUGGUUAGAGCGCCGAAAAACGUGUCUCUGCGAUCCUCGUCGGGCGACCGAAUGCAGCAGGGACUACAUCCCUUCGGAGGCGGAGGUUGCAGGUUCGAAUCCUGCUGAGGGUA
rnacentral:tRNA from 1 species